rnacentral:rRNA from 1 species
GAUGAACGCUGGCGGCGCGCCUAACACAUGCAAGUCGAACGGUUAAAGCACCUUUUAGGUGUGUAUAAAGUGGCGAACGGCUGAGUAACACGUGGGCAACCUGCCCUCCUCUUGGGGAUAGCCUCGGGAAACCGAGGAUAAUACCCGAUACUUCAAUGUGGCCGCAUGACGACAUUGAGAAAGCUUUUGCGGAGAAGGAUGGGCCCGCGGCCUGUUAGCUUGUUGGUGGGGUAGAGGCCUACCAAGGCAAUGAUGGGUAGCUGGGUUGAGAGACCGACCAGCCAGAUUGGGACUGAGACACGGCCCAGACUCCUACGGGAGGCAGCAGUGGGGAAUCUUGCACAAGGGGCGAAAGCCUGAUGCAGCGACGCCGCGUGCGGGACGAAGGCCUUCGGGUUGAAAACCGCUUUCAGCAGGGACGAGGCGAUAAGUGACGGUACCUGCAGAAGAAGCCCCGGCUAACUACGUG